UGUUUCGGUAGCUUCUGUUAGCUUUUUGAAGGUCUUCACUUCAUUUGAAACAUAAAGAGAUGUGUUGCAUUGCAGGUUAUAAAUAAUUUUUUGAAGGUUUACUUUUCAUCUUAUGUUGGUUGUGAAUUAUACUAAUGUAAUCAAUGUCGAAUUCCGUCUUCGACAAUUAACUCAAUGCCACCCUUUAAGGUAGCAGCACCUUCAUUAGGGCUUCAAGCCCACUUCCUAUGAAAUCAGAUUUUAGAUUUUUCAAUCAACUUAAGAUUGGUGAAAGAAAAGAUUAAGAUAGUACUACUGUGAGAGAACUCAGCGGAGAGUGGCCUGGAAGUGCAUAUGAUAUGUUGUCCAAAAUCUGCAACCACUUUUGUGGUGAAUUGUGUGAAAUGUCUUUCCGAUGCUGUUCAGGAGAUUUAGAGGUAACUAUGUACAAAUGUGGAAAGUCCAUUAAGGAGAGAUAGAGGUAGCUAUGCAGGCAACCGAGAAUCAAACCUUAGGACAAACCCAGAAAGGAAAUUCCGCCUCUGUCAUGCAAUCAACAGCCGCAGUAAACACAGCUGUCGAUCUUCUCAACUACGGCGACAUCUCAGACAUUUCCAGAAACCAAGGUGUGAGCAUCUCCGAAACUGAAGUUCGUGGAAACCGUGUGAUCACUGAGUCGGUUGGGUCACAAGUUGUAUGACAGUUUGUUGAACCUGAUGUGCCAAUGAACGGUCUUGGUUUCUUGGAUUGUGACUAUAUUCCUACUGGUACAUCAUGUACUUGAAUUGUGGUUUAAUCAAUUAUUUGUUACUAAAAAAAGGCAUUACCUGCCUAUUCUAGGAUUCAUAUAAUUAUGAUUGUUGGAUU